UACGUAGGGGGCUAGCGUUGUCCGGAUUUAUUGGGCGUAAAGAGCGUGUAGGCGGCCAGGUAGGUCUGCUGUGAAAACUCGAGGCUCAACCUCGAGACGUCGGCGGAAACCAUCUGGCUAGAGUCCGGAAGAGGAGAGCGGAAUUCCUGGUGUAGAGGUGAAAUUCGUAGAUAUCAGGAGGAACACCAGUGGCGAAGGCGGCUUUCUGGACGAUAACUGACGCUGAGACG
rnacentral:rRNA from 1 species